GUAUCACUUGCCAAGAUAAUCGGAGAGACGCCGCGUCAAGAGAUGCUAAGCCUACCCGAGCGAGCUGAAAAGAAUGAACUGGAGCCGAUCGCGGUUUUGGAGGUGAACCCCAAUGACGUCAUCGACCAGGCUUUGAAGAAGAAAUUCCGGGCUCGAGACUACCCCAAGAACUUGUACGGGAAGAAGACCUCCUCCUACAAGAAGCUCCACAUCAUCGAACAGGCUCUCAAGACGGACUUGAGCGGAAUCCAAAUCGACCUCCAGAGCGUCGUCAAACAGCUCAUGCAGGGCUUCUACGCCUCCAAGAACAUCCAGAAGGAACUGAAGAGCACUGGCGAAUACCCUGAGAACCAAGAGGCUCAAGAAGAAGCCGCCAUGGUAGCCUACUCGAUCGCCAACCAGAUACUGGAUAAGACCAAGGGCAAGAACCCAGAAAGACACCUGACGUGAAACCUGAGGAGAAGAAACCUGAAAACAAACCUGUAGAGCCGGAGGCAAAGAAAGAAGAAGCGAAGGACGAGCCCGCGAAACCUGCAGACAUAGAGGAACAGAAAGAUGAAGCCGCAAAGCCUGUAGAAAACAAAGAACAGACUCCGAAUUCUGAAAGUGCGGGAGAACAGAAAGGAGAUGCCGCCAAGCCUGCCGAACCUGAAGAAGCUGCGAAACCUGCAGAUGAGACUCCAGUGAAACCUGCAGAGACUGAGAAUACAAAAGAGGAUCCAACAAACGCUCCGGCAGAAGAGCAGCCAAAGAACGAGGGCGCUAAACCUGCAGAAAAGGAAAUGGAAGAGCCCGCUUCCAAGUCUGAGGAUGCUGAUUCGGUGAAAGAGGACCCAACGGAGAAGCAGAAGGAAAGCCAAGAUGCGUCAAGACCGGAAAAUGAGGUGACCGAUGAAAAGAAUCAGAGCCCCGCAACGCAGGAGGAACCUGAAUCAACAAAACCGGAACCCGUGAACCAAGACCAGGAAAAUAGCGAGUCUGCGAAACCGGAACAAGACGGAGAACAGAAACCUCAAGAGGAACAGAGACCGGCUGAAGGAACGGCAGCAGAAAAAGAAGCUGAAUCCGAUGCAGAGAGGGAACAACCAAAAAAUGAAUCAACUGACAGUCCAGCAGAAAGCACUCCUGGAGAUAGCCAAACCCCGAAGGAAGAAACCCAAAACCCUGAAAACUCCAACAAUGGUGAAAAACCGGCGAACGAGGAUGAAGUCAACAAAGAACCCGUAAAACAGGAAGAAGAAGCAAGUUCUGCUACCCCAGACGAAACGGAACCCACAAAACCAGAGACCGAAAAUGAGCCCGCGAAACAAGAGGAAGGAAACAGAGAACCAGAUGAAGGUCAGAAGCCACAAGACGAGUCAAAGCCAGUAGAAGAAGCGAAUGUAGAGACAGACGCGGAUUCUGACGGAGCGAAGGAACAGCCAAACAACGAACAAACGAACCAAGAGGCAGAAACUCCAGCUUCGGAGCAGACAGGCGGCGAAAUACCAAGCAAUGAUAAGGAUGCUCAGAAUCCCCAAGAGGCUUAUUCUGAAGCCUCUGAAAAUAGUGACAAUGCCCCGGAGCAGAAUGAAACUUCCGAUGAUUCCACGACCCAAAAGCGGGAGAUCCCUACGCAGGAAAAUGACGGAUCAGGCGGAAAUGGAGGUGACGGCGGAUACGAAAAUGCUCCUAGUUCAGAUGCAGGUCCCAAUGCUGUAAAUGAGAAAAGUGAUGAGAAGGCUCCAGCUGAUGACGCCGCACAGGAACCGUCUAAAGAAGAUGCCUGGAGACCAGAUUCAUCAGCAGAUGAAUCAGAGACUCCAGCACCACAAACUGAUGAGUCUAAAAAUCCGGUGGACCAAGAACAGGCACCUACAACUACGACCGAAGGCAAUGACUCGGAGAAUAAAGUAGAUGAGCCCAAAAAGGACAAUGCUGAUACUCAAAAUGAGGAAUCAAAAGAUGCUGAGAAAAAUUCGCCCCAAGCAAAGGCCCCCCAGGAGAACAACACAAAUCGAGAAGCAGCAUUCCCAGCUCCACAAGGUAUUCCCAAUCCUGAUUGUAAUAGGAAACAAUGAGCUGAAAGAUGCAAGAUAAGUUCUUCCAUGAAAGAUCAAUGGUAGUCUCCGAUAUUCAUUACAAUCAUGGGAAAUGAUUCCUAAUGAACAAAUGUAUUGGACAAUUUGCUCGUAUAAUAUUUCAGGGGGGAAGAACACCGUGUCUGGUUUAAGAUUUUUUCUGUACCGAACGAGCAGAGAAAGAUAGGGGUAAAAUGCACCUUCCGACACAUUUCUUGAGGUAUUACCCACUUGCGACAUACUUUUACUCAGAACAUGUCUUCGCGCAUAGAAACUUUACAUUAGUGUCAGGACGGAUUAACGGUCAAUGGACUGCUAUACUAAGUACGAAUUUGAGCAUUCUAAUACGUGUUUUCCCUUCAAAAUUUCAUAUAGAUCACGAUUUCGCGCGAGGAAAAUGACUAAAAUUAGAAGUAUUUCUGCUACGUGGAACUACAGAAACGUUUGGGAAGAUGAGGUGCGCCCCUGGUAAGCUGCUUAGGAAAAAAUGUAAAAGUGGGCAAUUUUCGUUUGCGCAAAUCGUAUUCUACGGGAAAUUUUGGCGAGAAAACAUGCAUCUUGAUGCUUAAAUUUGCAUUUUGUGAAGUAGCCGAAUCGUAAACUUAUUCUUACAUAAAUGACGCGAGAAUCGGCAAUGUUUAAAAUAUCAAAUUUGACAUUUUUAGCUGGAGAAGCCGACGCUCCCGUGAGGCCCCCAAGCCCAAUGGACGAUCCUGAGGACAAGCCGGAUGACAAAAACAAUGUAUCAGAUCCAAAAAAUGAACAGCCUAAAGAGGCCGCAGAGGAAACAAGACCAGAUCAACAACCUGAGGUAUCUCCAGCAAAAAGGCACCAGAGGAGGCGAAGAAACGGAAAACUAGGAGAAUCAAGGUAAAUUUUACCAUUUCAAUGAAAUUAAGCAAAACAAUAUUUUCUUGUUGCGGACUGAUAUUCAACAUUUCUACAUUGACGGAUUAGAAAGAUAGAUUGGCGUUUUAUACUGCCAAAGAUUCUGAUUAGUUAUAACUUU
rnacentral:lncRNA from 1 species